rnacentral:rRNA from 1 species
UUUUAGAGUUUUGGAUAUGGCUCAGGAUGAACGCUGGCGGCGUGCCUAAUACAUGCAAGUCGAACGCUUUGUGGUUCAACUGAUUUGAAGAGCUUGCUCAGAUAUGACGAUGGACAUUGCAAAGAGUGGCGAACGGGUGAGUAACACGUGGGAAACCUACCUCUUAGCAGGGGAUAACAUUUGGAAACAGAUGCUAAUACCGUAUAACAAUGACAACCGCAUGGUUGUUAUUUAAAAGAUGGUUCUGCUAUCACUAAGAGAUGGUCCCGCGGUGCAUUAGCUAGUUGGUAAGGUAAUGGCUUACCAAGGCGAUGAUGCAUAGCCGAGUUGAGAGACUGAUCGGCCACAAUGGGACUGAGACACGGCCCAUACUCCUACGGGAGGCAGCAGUAGGGAAUCUUCCACAAUGGGCGAAAGCCUGAUGGAGCAACGCCGCGUGUGUGAUGAAGGGUUUCGGCUCGUAAAACACUGUUGUAAGAGAAGAAUGACAUUGAGAGUAACUGUUCAAUGUGUGACGGUAUCUUACCAGAAAGGAACGGCUAAAUACGUGCCAGCAGCCGCGGUAAUACGUAUGUUCCAAGCGUUAUCCGGAUUUAUUGGGCGUAAAGCGAGCGCAGACGGUUAUUUAAGUCUGAAGUGAAAGCCCUCAGCUCAACUGAGGAAUUGCUUUGGAAACUGGAUGACUUGAGUGCAGUAGAGGAAAGUGGAACUCCAUGUGUAGCGGUGAAAUGCGUAGAUAUAUGGAAGAACACCAGUGGCGAAGGCGGCUUUCUGGACUGUAACUGACGUUGAGGCUCGAAAGUGUGGGUAGCAAACAGGAUUAGAUACCCUGGUAGUCCACACCGUAAACGAUGAGUGCUAGGUGUUUGAGGGUUUCCGCCCUUAAGUGCCGCAGCUAACGCAUUAAGCACUCCGCCUGGGGAGUACGACCGCAAGGUUGAAACUCAAAGGAAUUGACGGGGACCCGCACAAGCGGUGGAGCAUGUGGUUUAAUUCGAAGCAACGCGAAGAACCUUACCAGGUCUUGACAUCCCUUGACAACUCCAGAGAUGGAGCGUUCCCUUCGGGGACAAGGUGACAGGUGGUGCAUGGUUGUCGUCAGCUCGUGUCGUGAGAUGUUGGGUUAAGUCCCGCAACGAGCGCAACCCUUAUUACUAGUUGCCAGCAUUCAGUUGGGCACUCUAGUGAGACUGCCGGUGACAAACCGGAGGAAGGUGGGGAUGACGUCAAAUCAUCAUGCCCCUUAUGACCUGGGCUACACACGUGCUACAAUGGCGUAUACAACGAGUUGCCAACCCGCGAGGGUGAGCUAAUCUCUUAAAGUACGUCUCAGUUCGGAUUGUAGGCUGCAACUCGCCUACAUGAAGUCGGAAUCGCUAGUAAUCGCGGAUCAGCACGCCGCGGUGAAUACGUUCCCGGGUCUUGUACACACCGCCCGUCACACCAUGAGAGUUUGUAACACCCAAAGCCGGUGGGGUAACCUUCGGGAGCCAGCCGUCUAAGGUGGGACAGAUGAUUAGGGUGAAUCU